rnacentral:rRNA from 1 species
UCAAGAUUAGCCAUGCAUGUCUAAGUACAAAGACUAGUACUCUAAAACCGCGGAUGGCUCAUUAUAACAGCCUUGAUUUAAGAGAAUUAACGUUUAAUUACUACAAGAUAACUGUGGUAAUUCUAGAGCUAAUAUUUCAUAGAAAGCCGUGACUUCGGAAGCGGCGAAUUUAUUAGAUCAAAACCAACCUGUCGCAAGACGGUUCUUUGAUGAAUCUGGAUAACUUUACUGAUCGUACGACCUCAGUGUUGACGACAUAUCUCUUGAAAAGGCUGACCUAUCAACUUUCGAUGGUAAGAUCAAAGCUUACCAUGGUUGUAACGGGUAACGGGGAAUCAGUGUUCGAUUCCGGAGAGGGAGCCUGAGAAACGGCUACCACAUCUACGGAAGGCAGCAGGCGCGUAAAUUACCCAAUACCGGCUCGGUGAGGUAGUGACAAAAAAUAACAAUAUGGGCCCUAGUGGUUUCAUAAUUGCAAUGAGAACAUUUUAAAUACUUUAUCAAGUAUCAAUUGGAGGGCAAGUCUGGUGCCAGCAGCCGCGGUAAUUCCAGCUCCAAUAGCGUAUAUUAAAGUUGUUGCAGUUAAAAAGCUCGUAGUUGAAAUUGAGGCAAGAGCGUUUCAGAGGUCUAUGAUCUCGGAUUCGUGAUUGC